rnacentral:lncRNA from 1 species
CUUUCCACCAGGGAAGACUGCAAAGGCCAGAGAUCAUUUUCACAACUAAAGGUCGUCAUCUGGGCAAAUGAACCACUCUGACUUGGAGAUUAGGGGCUCAGACAGCCGUGGAUGAGAGUCCAGCUCUACUACUUAUUAGCCUUGAUUAGACUGUGAGAGGGAUGGGAAAGACUGGUGCUUGGGGUGGCCAUCUGACCCCUGAUGGACAGGAGACCAGGACAAGCCCACUGGAUGAGCCGGAGGGGUCCAGGAGGAGGGAGUUGAGAGCUCCUGCUAGGGUUGACACAUUCUGGUAAGGAGUUCAUCUGCUGUCCACCAGUUGCCAUCUUUAGCGCCAAAGGAAUUGCGUCCUCCCACUUGGAUUGAAUGCAGAGCCGCAGCCAUCUAAAAGGAGGAUUUGGGGGGAGCAUGGAGUAGAAAAUGAGGAAGGGGCAGGAUAUGACAGGGGAGACAAUAAAAAGGUCAACACAGCUCCCACCUCGAAGCAGCUGCCAGUUUAUUACAUGAAGUGUCAGGCUGUGGACUGCAGGCAUGCCAUUUUGUCUUCAAGAACAGAAUUCCCGGGCACACGAAUGAUUCCAGGGUUCCUCCAGCACUUUGGUAUUACUUGAAAGCAAUCUUAAGGGAUCUAGAAUGAACCAACGCCCAAAAAGGAUCCCUUAGCAGCGGUGAUAUCAAAGAAACACUUUUGAAGAACUAAUUUUCCACCCAGAUUUCCCCAAUUUUAAAAGCAAUGGGCAAAGCCUUCUCCACUCCUAAACUUCCUGGAACUGUCUUUUGGCUAUAUCAGGCCCCUGAAGUUAGAGUCUUUGAAAGACUCCAAACUCCAAAUUCUAUGCUUUUAUUCUCAGGCUCCUCAUAAUUCUACAGCACACCAGACUGCUGACCACUCUCCGUACCACUUUUAAAUUAUUUCUUCCCACAGCUUUCUUAACAAUGAACCUUUGAAAUCUUUUUAGUUUUCCAUUUAUUUUGCUACCUUUCCUCUGUCCUAGCUCUAAAAUGAAGAUCCUCUAAGGUUCUACAGUUUACUUCUUGUAUUCUCCUUUGUAAGUCAUCUCCAAGACGAUGUCCAAAUCCAUCACCAUUAAAAUUAAUAGUUUCCUCACCCACAACACUUAAUAUUUUAAAAAAAAUACUUUUCAUUGUAUUAUAAUUACUUGAUACAUACAUAUUUGCUCUGUGAGUUCCUUAUUCAUCAUAUUAGUGCCUGACAAUAAAUGUGUGCUGGAUUGAGCUGAA